rnacentral:tRNA from 1 species
GUCCCAGUAGUUCAGUUGAAUAGAAUGCAGCCCUCCGAAGGCUGAGGUCACAGGUUUGAGUCCUGUCUGGGACGCCA